AUUGAACGCUGGCGGCAUGCUUUACACAUGCAAGUCGAACGGUAACAGGCCGCAAGGUGCUGACGAGUGGCGAACGGGUGAGUAAUGCAUCGGAACGUGCCCAGUCGUGGGGGAUAACUACUCGAAAGAGUAGCUAAUACCGCAUACGAUCUAUGGAUGAAAGCGGGGGACCGUAAGCCCUCGCGCGAUUGGAGCGGCCGAUGUCAGAUUAGGUAGUUGGUGGGGUAAAGGCUCACCAAGCCAACGAUCUGUAGCUGGUCUGAGAGGACGACCAGCCACACUGGGACUGAGCCACGGCCCAGACUCCUACGGGAGGCAGCAGUGGGGAAUUUUGGACAAUGGGCGCAAGCCUGAUCCAGCAAUGCCGCGUGCAGGAAGAAGGCCUUCGGGUUGUAAACUGCUUUUGUACGGAACGAAACGGCUCUGGUUAAUACCCGGGGCUAAUGACGGUACCGGAAGAAUAAGCACCGGCUAACUACGUG
rnacentral:rRNA from 1 species